rnacentral:rRNA from 1 species
GAAGGCUCAUUAAGUCCGUUGAGGACGAGGCAGCAGUAGAGAAUAUUGUGCAAUGUACGGCAGUAUGACACAGAGAGCACACGCCCUCUUGGCCUGUCCAACUAAGUGCCAGCAGACGCGGUUAGACUUAGGGGCCAAGCCUUUAUAAGCAAAGGGGCGUAAAGGGUGUGUAGGCCGACUGCCCCACCCCCUCCCAAGGUGGUAAAUGGAAUUUUUCUGUAGCGGUAGAAUGUGCGGAUAGAAAAUAGAACCCCAAAAGCAGAAGCAAUUUACCGCGGGGCGGGAGGGGGGGCCCCUUGGGGUGCCCCCCCGGGUCACGGGCUGAAACACGAGGGUGUGGGGAACAAACAGGAUUAGAGACCCUGGUAGUCCACACUGUAAACGAUGGAGAAAAUGCGAAUGCAGCCCCGAAAGGCAGCAAUCUCCCGCCUGAGUAGUACGAUCGCAAGAUUAAAAUUCAAAAAAUUUGGCUGUUCACCGUUUCGAUUAGAGGAGCGUGUAGUUUAAUUCGAUAAACCGCGAGAUACCUUACCCAAACUUGAAUCCUUGAGGAUUCCAAGGAAUCCUUAUGGACCGGUAUUGCAUGGCCGUCGUCAGUUCGUGUAUGAAACUUUAAACGGACCCAACCCGAGGAUUAGCCGCGGAUGAAGUCAGGUCUUAUGGUCCCAAUGUUUGGGGAUAAUAUGCGCUACAUUUUCUUAUACAAUGGGAAACCUGGGAGGUGAAACCCAAAAGUGAGAGUUCGGUAGGCUAUUGGAAGAUGGCCGAAAGUUGAAUUUAAUAGUAAUCGGAAAGUAUAGCGUUCCGGUGAAAAUGGUCUAGGUGUUAGCACAAAUCGCCCGUCACCUUAACUUAGGAUGAUGGUUCGGACGCCGCCACGCCCCCACGGGCCCCGGCGGUACGGCCCUACGAGUUAAGCAA